GUCGGAGUGGCGGAAUUGGCAGACGCGCUAGCUUGAGGUGCUAGUGCCCACACCUACGGGCAUGCGGGUUCAAGUCCCGCCUCCGACACCA
rnacentral:tRNA from 1 species